rnacentral:rRNA from 1 species
GACGAACGCUGGCGGCGUGCUUAACACAUGCAAGUCGAACGGUGAUGCUCCAGCUUGCUGGAGUGGAUCAGUGGCGAACGGGUGAGUAACACGUGAGCAACCUGCCCCAGACUCUGGAAUAAGCGCUGGAAACGGCGUCUAAUACUGGAUACGAAACUGGCCCGCAUGGGCAUGGUUUGGAAAGGUCGUCGGUGUGGGCUGGUCUCGCGGCCUACCAGCUUGUUUGUGAGGUAAUGGCUCACCAAGGCGACGACGGGUAGCCGGCCUGAGAGGGCGAACGGCCACACUGGUACUGAGACACGGCCCAGACUCGUACGUGAGGCAGCAGUGGGGAAUAUUGCACAAUGGGCGCAAGCCUGAUGCAGAGGCGCCGCGUGAGGGAUGACGGCCUUCGGGUUGUAAACCUCUUUCAGCAGGGAAGAAGCGAAAGUGACGGUACCUGCAGAGAAAGCACCGGCUAACUACGUG